rnacentral:lncRNA from 10 species
UUGAGAGGUUGCAUCUGACUUCCUAGCCACCCUUAAGGAAGGAAGCACAAGAAAUUCACUGUGUAUUACAGCUACCAAGAAGAGGAAAGCAGACUCACCAAAUCUCUGAGGCAUGACAGAGAGCCAGACCAGGUUAAGAUAGAAGCCCCUAGAGAAAGGCCCUGUAUGAUGCCAAAACAUGCAAUUAAGAAAAUUUUGCACAAUCGAGAUUCCAAUGUUUGCACAAAAUUCUAUUUUAAAUGCAGUGUUUCCCUUUCUGAUACAUUCUCUCACUCUAUCUAUUUACUGGUGAAUGUUUUUAUCUAAUGGCUUACAGCCUAAUUUUCACCAUCAUUGUUUUAGAAAACAGCUCUAAGAUUAUGUCUGAGCAAUAGCUGGCAUUAUUGCCAGAUUUAUGUCAUUAAUGUUUAAUCAGCAAAUGAUGCCACAUGAACAUUUUUCUUAAUAUAGAAUCAUCAUUCUUCAAACUUUAAACCACUUUCACUUUUUACUUUUUAAAGGUGAGAAGGUUGAUGCUAGGAACCUGGAAAAUUUUCUGGAAAAUAUGGGGAUAAAUCUCACAGAAGAUAAAGGCAUGCAACUGCUGAAUAAUCUUCCAAUUGAUGCCAAAGGAAAGGUAUAUGUGAACAGAUUGAUGAAAGAAUUGAGAGGUCUUGAAGGAACAAAAGUGUCUUCAGAUAAGAUGGAAAUUUUCAUGAAAAGCAUGGGAAUUGAUCUCAAGGAGAAAGAAAUCCAGGCACUGAAGGACCACCUACCAGUUGAUGGAGAGAAGAUUCAUGCUGGGGAUGUGAAAAAUGUUCUGGAAAACAUGGGAAUAGAGAUCACAAAUAAGGAGCACAAAAAGCUUCUGAAAACUUUGCCAGUUUCUGGUAAGCAUUUACAUGUAUUCUGCUUCACUGAUGUCUAAAAAUAUAUUCAUUCAACACUUACUGAAGAUCAUUGUCUAUGUGGCACUAUCUAAAACCUGAGAGCGCAGGGACCAUGUCUGAUUCUCCAAGUCCUUAC